UACGUAGGGGGCUAGCGUUGUCCGGAAUCAUUGGGCGUAAAGAGCGUGUAGGCGGUCCGGUAAGUCCGCUGUGAAAGUCGGGGGCUCAACCCUCGAAUGCCGGUGGAUACUGUCGGGCUAGAGUGCGGAAGAGGCGACUGGAAUUCCUGGUGUAGCAGUGAAAUGCGUAGAUAUCAGGAGGAAUACCGAUGGCGAAGGCAGGUCUCUGGGCUGACACUGACGCUCAUGCACGAAAGCGUGGGGAGCAAACAGG
rnacentral:rRNA from 1 species